rnacentral:misc_RNA from 1 species
UGAGUCCCCCUUCCAGUCCAGACCACACAACAAAAGAAAGCCAAAACGCUGUACCUGUCUUUGAAAUGCAGUUCCCUAGUCUAUACGUGUACUAAUUCAUUUAUGAAAAAAACUUAACCUAGAGAAUACAAAUACAUUUAAUAUUACAAUGUACAGAAUUCAAUAAGUUUGGUACAUGUCUUACAAGGUUUUGUGAAUUACAUAUUUUCAUUCACAUACAUACAGAAAUAAAUAAUAGUUUAUAACAGUGCAGUUCAGUUUCACCCAGUAUUUUCAGUAUGAUUUUAUUAUAUUCUACCGGUAUUAGUCAGUGUCAGUUAUUUACAAUAUAGAUUUUUAAACUUUUAAACUGGAGUCCCGUGCAAUACAUGUAAUAGUCAUUCAAGGGUAUUAUGUGAUUGGUGUUAUUUAUUUAUGAGGAAAUUUGUCUUGUUAAUUAUUGCCCUGGUUUUGAACAAACAAUAAUAAUAAAGAAAGUAAAACAU